rnacentral:rRNA from 1 species
AUUCCAGCUCCAAUAGCGUAUAUUAAAGUUGUUGCGGUUAAGAAGCUCGUAGUUGGAGUUCUGCCAGGUGACGCUCGUCCGCCCAAGUGGUGUGUACAGGGCGUGCAUCUGGCCCUUUCAAGAGGAGCGUAUUUGCACUUAAUUGUGUGGUGCGGGAUCCUUGACUUUUACUUUGAGGAAAUAAGAGUGUUCCAAGCAGGCUCUCGUCGUGCAUAGCUCAGCAUGGAAUAAUAGCAUUGGAUCUCGAUUCCAAACUGUUGGUUGUAGGAAACGAGAUAAUGAUGAAGAGGGAUAGUUGGGGGCAUUCGUAUUUAACUGUCAGAGGUGAAAUUCUUGGAUUUGUUAAAGACGAACUACUGCGAAAGCAUCUGCCAUGGAUGUUUUCAUUA